rnacentral:misc_RNA from 1 species
ACACAGUGUUGGGCAGUGUGCUGUGUCCUAACCAAUCAAUGACCUUGACCUGUGUGUUGAAAUACGGCGUGUUUGCAGCAACCAAAAUGUUCAGCUGUUUUAGAAGAAUAUUCUGAUCUGAAGAAUCCGGCAAUUGUUUGAUGACGAGAAAAUGAACGAAGUGUGAACAUAUCACCCUACACGAUUUUAUAAAAAUAAGCAUUAAGAACGGUAUGUUCUUUGUAUUGUUGAUUUUACAAUCGUUGUUUACUGAAUUUUAUUUUCUCAAAAUAAAUUAUGUACAAUAUAGUCGUGUACUUAAUUUAAUUUGAGUUAACAACUCUACAUUUUGUAUAUCAUGUCACUUAUGUUUGAUUCAUGUUACUAGUAUAUUUAUCAUUGUUUUUCACUGAAUUCGUUAGCCAUUUUAAACUCAAAGAUAUUGACCUUUUCAGGUCACAUGAGUCACUCAGGUGAUCUACAGUAUCGCAGUUGGUCUUCUUCCGUCGAUGUGUGUUUGUGCGGAAUUUAAAUUGUAAAAUUUAUAACCUCACCACGCCCGGGUUUACAUGGCGGGACCAAAUAUGCAAAAAAUGCCAAUUUUUUAAAAAGACCUUCUCUAUUCCCACACAUGUGAAGAAAAACUGAAUGCAUGGUUAUAAUGUCAAUUAAGCACACCCCCCCCUCCCCCCUAUUUUCAUGAAUAAAUGUUUUUAAACAUCAAAUAAUAGAAGUGGAAGUAACUGUCAGAGGAUCUCAGAUUUGGGUAAGGGUGUAAAUUUCGAAAUGAAGCUUAAAAGGCAAACAUGAAACUCUGUGGUAUGUCAAUCUAAGGGCUUUGGUACUCAGGUGACCAUCAAGGCCCGUGGGCCUCUUGUUCUAGUUUUAUGCACUCAAGGUCGAGUAUUGAUUGUUUCUAUAUCUGCUUUUAUUGUAGCAACAUCUGCAUAAAAUAUUCUACCAUCCAGUAAAUUUGCACAAAAUAAAUACAAUAUGCAUAUUUGCAUGAAUUCUCAUUCAACAUGCACCAUAAUUGCAUGGUUCUAUAGAAGAAUUACUUAUGUAAUAUUGCUUCUACUGAAAUAAAUAAUUUAAUGAAAUAAAG